UCUCCGUUGGUGAACCAGCGGAGGGAUCAUUACUGGAAUCGCAAGAUCCCACAACCCUGUGAACCUACCGAAACGUUGCCUCGGCGGGUGCCCGGCCCCCGCGCCGGGCGCUGCGCCCGGCGGCGGCCCCCUACUCUGUCUCUGCAGCGUGGCAUCUCAGAGUCCCAGAAAACAAGUCAAAACUUUCAACAACGGAUCUCUUGGCUCUA
rnacentral:misc_RNA from 1 species